GGUGUCUCUAGGUACCAUAAACACUAUAUCUGAUUGUAGUAUUUAUGGGUGCUGGUCCCAGUUUACUGUCAAUUGAGUUAGAGAUGUUUGACAAAAAAAUAAAAAUACCAUUCACAUCCUGAUACACUACAGCCUCAUGGAUCACGUGGAAGUUACCCUUCUGCAUUAUCCAUACAGACCUGUCCCACCUUGGACAGCAGUGUUAGGAGUGAUAGGAUUAGAGUGCGUCAAGCUUGGACGGAAUAUAUAGAUAACACAGCUGUACAUUCUGCAUUAUCCAUAACGCUGCAGAGGGGCCAGGCUUUGGGUGAUGGGAGAGAGCUCCCAUUCUUGCCAUUGUCCAUAAACUCAUAGCACAAUAACAAUGAGCUGUAGUGAUUAUGGUGCUUAGAUUGCCCUUAAAGUCUAAUGAAUGUUCUUUAUAUUACAGACAGCAGUCACUUUACACUCACCUUACAGUGAUUUCGAUCUGCGUCACACCCCAAUUUUAAACAGAUUUUUAGUUACACCAUGAUAAACCCUGAUUCCCAUCAUGCUUCACUAGUGUUGGUGGUAAAAUAUCUCUAACCUAAAUACAUUAUUAUGUAAAUGCUAUGGAACAUUUAAAAGUCUAAUACCAGCAGUGUGUGCAAAUGUGCGUUCUGUU